GAUGAAGAACGCAGCGAAAUGCGAUAAGUAAUGUGAAUUGCAGAAUUCAGUGAAUCAUCGAAUCUUUGAACGCACCUUGCGCCCUUUGGCCAUUCCGAAGGGCAUGCCUGUUUGAGUAUCAUGAACACCUCAACUCUUCAUGGUUUUCCAUGAUGAGCUUGGACUUUGGGGGUCUUGCUGGCCUGUGGGUCGGCUCCUCUCAAAUGAAUCAGCUUGCCGGUUUUUGGUGGGCAUCACAGGUGUGAUAACUAUCUACGCUUGUGGUUUUCCACCAGGGUAACCUUCAGCAGUGGAGGUUCACUGGAGCUUACAAAUGUCUCUCCUCUGUGAGGACAGCCCUUUGAAUGUUUGAUCUCAAAUCAGGUAUGACUACCCGCUGAACUUAAGCAUAUCAAUAAGCGGAGGA
rnacentral:misc_RNA from 1 species